rnacentral:rRNA from 1 species
UACAGAGGAUGCGAGCGUUAUCCGGAUUUAUUGGGUUUAAAGGGUGCGUAGGCGGAUCGUUAAGUCAGUGGUCAAAUUGAGGGGCUCAACCCCUUCCCGCCAUUGAAACUGGCGAUCUUGAGUGGAAGAGAAGUAUGCGGAAUGCGUGGUGUAGCGGUGAAAUGCAUAGAUAUCACGCAGAACUCCGAUUGCGAAGGCAGCAUACCGGCGCCCUACUGACGCUGAGGCACGAAAGCGUGGGUAUCGAACAGG